rnacentral:snoRNA from 1 species
CUCUCCUACAAAGGCAUGUCUGUAGAAACUUUCUUUGAAUUUGUAAGAAUUGGAGGCAAAGAAAUAUGGAUGUGGAGAUGUCUAGGGCCAGCUUAUUCCCCACAGACUCAAGGUCAACCAUCCCACUUGG